UUAAUGUGCUAAACAAUUUCACAAAUUCUUGAAGAGCAUUUAAUAAAGGACAGUGCAAUUAAAUUUAUGUGCAAAUCAUUUGCAAUGCACUCUGAUCUGUAUUGUGCGAUUCUACAAAGACAUUUCAGACAUUUACAUAAUUCAAUAAUAUGUCAAAAUUAA